rnacentral:rRNA from 1 species
CACCGCGGUUAUACGAGAGGCCCAAGUUGAUAGGCACGGCGUAAAGAGUGGUUAUGGACAAGAUACAACUAAAGCCGAAGACCCCCUAGGCUGUCAUACGCAGCUGGGGGCACGAAGCCCCACUACGAAAGUGGCUUUAUUUAAGACCACCCGACCCCACGACAGCCGAGAUA